GACGAACGCUGGCGGCGUGCUUAACACAUGCAAGUCGAACGGUGAAGGGACUGGUUUUGCUGGUCCUGGAUGAGUGGCGAACGGGUGAGUAACACGUGAGUAACCUGCCCCCUUCUUCUGGAUAACCGCAUGAAAGUGUGGCUAAUACGGGAUAUUCUGGGUCUGUCGCAUGGUGGGCCUGGGAAAGAUUGCGCCUUUUUUGGUGUUUUUGGUGGGGGAUGGGCUCGCGGCCUAUCAGCUUGUUGGUGGGGUGAGGGCCUACCAAGGCGGUGACGGGUAGCCGGCCUGAGAGGGUGGACGGUCACACUGGGACUGAGACACGGCCCAGACUCCUACGAGGGGCAGCAGUGGUGAAUAUUGCACAAUGGGCGCACGCCGGAUGCAGCGACGCCGCGUGAGGGAUGGAGGCCUUCGGGUUGUGAACCUCUUUCGCCAGUGAAGCAGGCCUGCCUCUUUUUGUGGGUGGGUUGACGGUAGCUGGAUAAGAAGCGCCGGCUAACUACGUG
rnacentral:rRNA from 1 species